rnacentral:rRNA from 1 species
CCCUUAGAUGUUCUGGGCCGCACACGCGCUACACUGAAGGAGGCAGCGUGUACUCCUGGAUCGAAAGAUUUGGGUAACCCGCGAAUCUCCUUCGUGCUAGGGAUUGAGGUUUGCAAUUAUCCUUCAUGAACGAGGAAUCCCCAGUAAGUGCAAGUCAUAAGCUUGCGCUGACUACGUCCCUGCCCUUUGUACACACCGCCCGUCGCUACUACCGAUUGAAUGAUUUAGUGAGGACUUCGGACUGGGACCGAUGCGGCUUUCGGGCUGCGUCGGUAUUCUGGAAAGAUGUCCAAACUGUAUCAUUUAGAGGAAGUAAAANUCGUANCA